rnacentral:rRNA from 1 species
CCUACGUGAGGCAGCAGUGAGGAAUAUUGGUCAAUGGGAGAGAUCCUGAACCAGCCAAGCCGCGUGAGGGAAGACGGCCCUAUGGGUUGUACACCUCUUUUGUCGGAGCACAAAACCCGGGACGUGUCCCGGACUGCGUGUAUCCGAAGAAAAAGCAUCGGCUAACUCCGUGCCAGCAGCCGCGGUAAUACGGAGGAUGCGUGCGUUAUCCGGAUUUAUUGGGGUUAAAGGGUGCGUAGGCGGUCCGUUAAGUCAGCGGUAGAAUUGCGGGGCUCAACCCCGUCGAGCCGUUGAAACUGGCAGACUUGAGUGGGCGAGAAGUACGGGGAAUGCGCGGUGGAGCGGUGAAAUGCAUAGAUAUCGCGCAGAACUCCGAUUGCGAAGGCAGCGUACCGGCGCCAGACUGACGCUGAGGCACGAAAGCGUGGGGAUCGAACAGGAUUAGAUACCCUGGUAGUC